rnacentral:rRNA from 1 species
GACGAACGCUGGCGGCGUGCCUAAUACAUGCAAGUUGAGCGCUGAAGGUUGGUACUUGUCCCAACUGGAUGAGCAGCGAACGGGUGAGUAACGCGUGGGGAAUCUGCCUUUGAGCGGGGGAUAACAUUUGGAAACGAAUGCUAAUACCGCAUAAAAACUUUAAACACAAGUUUCAAGUUUGAAAGAUGCAAUUGCAUCACUCAAAGAUGAUCCCGCGUUGUAUUAGCUAGUUGGUGAGGUAAAGGCUCACCAAGGCGAUGAUACAUAGCCGACCUGAGAGGGUGAACGGCCACAUUGGGACUGAGACACAGCCCAAGCUCCUACAGGAGGCAGCAGUAGGGAAUCUUCGGCAAUGGACGAAAGUCUGACCGAGCCACGCCGCGUGAGUGAAGAAGGUUUUCGGAUCGUAAAACUCUGUUGGUAGAGAAGAACGUGGGUGAGGGUGGAAAGCUCAUCAAGUGACGGUAACUACCCAGAAAGGGACGGCUAACUACGUG